rnacentral:rRNA from 1 species
GCAGUCGAACGAGUUCUGAUUAUUGAAAGGUGCUUGCAUCUUGAUUUAAUUUUGAACGAGUGGCGGACGGGUGAGUAACACGUGGGUAACCUGCCCUUAAGUGGGGGAUAACAUUUGGAAACAGAUGCUAAUACCGCAUAAAUCCAAGAACCGCAUGGUUCUUGGCUGAAAGAUGGCGUAAGCUAUCGCUUUUGGAUGGACCCGCGGCGUAUUAGCUAGUUGGUGAGGUAACGGCUCACCAAGGCAAUGAUACGUAGCCGAACUGAGAGGUUGAUCGGCCACAUUGGGACUGAGACACGGCCCAAACUCCUACGGGAGGCAGCAGUAGGGAAUCUUCCACAAUGGACGCAAGUCUGAUGGAGCAACGCCGCGUGAGUGAAGAAGGCUUUCGGGUCGUAAAACUCUGUUGUUGGAGAAGAAUGGUCGGCAGAGUAACUGUUGUCGGCGUGACGGUAUCCAACCAGAAAGCCACGGCUAACUACGUGCCAGCAGCCGCGGUAAUACGUAGGUGGCAAGCGUUAUCCGGAUUUAUUGGGCGUAAAGCGAGCGCAGGCGGUUUUUUAAGUCUGAUGUGAAAGCCCUCGGCUUAACCGAGGAAGUGCAUCGGAAACUGGGAAACUUGAGUGCAGAAGAGGACAGUGGAACUCCAUGUGUAGCGGUGAAAUGCGUAGAUAUAUGGAAGAACACCAGUGGCGAAGGCGGCUGUCUGGUCUGUAACUGACGCUGAGGCUCGAAAGCAUGGGUAGCGAACAGGAUUAGAUACCCUGGUAGUCCAUGCCGUAAACGAUGAAUGCUAGGUGUUGGAGGGUUUCCGCCCUUCAGUGCCGCAGCUAACGCAUUAAGCAUUCCGCCUGGGGAGUACGACCGCAAGGUUGAAACUCAAAGGAAUUGACGGGGGCCCGCACAAGCGGUGGAGCAUGUGGUUUAAUUCGAAGCAACGCGAAGAACCUUACCAGGUCUUGACAUCUUUUGAUCACCUGAGAGAUCAGGUUUCCCCUUCGGGGGCAAAAUGACAGGUGGUGUAUGGUUGUCGUCAGCUCGUGUCGUGAGAUGUUGGGUUAAGUCCCGCAACGAGCGCAACCCUUAUGACUAGUUGCCAGCAUUUAGUUGGGCACUCUAGUAAGACUGCCGGUGACAAACCGGAGGAAGGUGGGGAUGACGUCAAAUCAUCAUGCCCCUUAUGACCUGGGCUACACACGUGCUACAAUGGAUGGUACAACGAGUUGCGAGACCGCGAGGUCAAGCUAAUCUCUUAAAGCCAUUCUCAGUUCGGACUGUAGGCUGCAACUCGCCUACACGAAGUCGGAAUCGCUAGUAAUCGCGGAUCAGCACGCCGCGGUGAAUACGUUCCCGGGCCUUGUACACACCGCCCGUCACACCAUGAGAGUUUGUAACACCCGAAGCCGGUGGCGUAACCCUUUUAGGGAGCGAG